rnacentral:rRNA from 1 species
UGCCAGCAGCCGCGGUAAUACGAAGGGACCUAGCGUAGUUCGGAAUUACUGGGCUUAAAGAGUUCGUAGGUGGUUGAAAAAGUUAGUGGUGAAAUCCCAGAGCUUAACUCUGGAACUGCCAUUAAAACUUUUCAGCUAGAGUAUGAUAGAGGAAAGCAGAAUUUCUAGUGUAGAGGUGAAGUUCGUAGAUAUUAGAAAGAAUACCAAUUGCGAAGGCAGCUUUCUGGAUCAUUACUGACACUGAGGAACGAAAGCAUGGGUAGCGAAGAGGAUUAGAUACCCUCGUAGUCCAUGCCGUAAACGAUGUGUGUUAGACGUUGGAAAUUUAUUUUCAGUGUCGCAGCGAAAGCGAUAAACACACCGCCUGGGGAGUACGACCGCAAGGUUAAAACUCAAAUGAAUUGACGGGGACCCGCACAAGUAGUGGAGCAUGUGGUUUAAUUCGAAGAUACGCGCAGAACCUUACCAACACUUGACAUGUUCGUCGCGACUCUAAGAGAUUAGAGUUUUCGGUUCGGCCGGACGAAACACAGGCGCUGCAUGGCU